rnacentral:tRNA from 1 species
UGUGCCAUGGCUUAGUUGGUUAAAGCGCAUGUCUAGUAAACAGGAGAUCCUGAGUUCGAAUCUCAGUGGUGCCU